rnacentral:rRNA from 1 species
AAAUUGAAGAGUUUGAUCAUGGCUCAGAUUGAACGCUGGCGGCAGGCCUAACACAUGCAAGUCGAACGGUAACAGGAAGCAGCUUGCUGCUUCGCUGACGAGUGGCGGACGGGUGAGUAAUGUCUGGGAAACUGCCUGAUGGAGGGGGAUAACUACUGGAAACGGUGGCUAAUACCGCAUAACGUCGCAAGACCAAAGAGGGGGACCUUCGGGCCUCUUGCCAUCAGAUGUGCCCAGAUGGGAUUAGCUUGUUGGUGAGGUAACGGCUCACCAAGGCGACGAUCCCUAGCUGGUCUGAGAGGAUGACCAGCCACACUGGAACUGAGACACGGUCCAGACUCCUACGGGAGGCAGCAGUGGGGAAUAUUGCACAAUGGGCGCAAGCCUGAUGCAGCCAUGCCGCGUGUAUGAAGAAGGCCUUCGGGUUGUAAAGUACUUUCAGCGGGGAGGAAGGUGUUGUGGUUAAUAACCGCAGCAAUUGACGUUACCCGCAGAAGAAGCACCGGCUAACUCCGUGCCAGCAGCCGCGGUAAUACGGAGGGUGCAAGCGUUAAUCGGAAUUACUGGGCGUAAAGCGCACGCAGGCGGUCUGUCAAGUCGGAUGUGAAAUCCCCGGGCUCAACCUGGGAACUGCAUUCGAAACUGGCAGGCUUGAGUCUUGUAGA